rnacentral:rRNA from 1 species
UACGGAGGGUGCGAGCGUUGUCCGGAAUCACUGGGCGUAAAGGGCGCGUAGGCGGCCGUGUAAGUCACUUGUGAAAUCCUGGAGCUCAACUCCAGAACUGCCUUUGAUACUGAAGAUCUUGAGUUCGGGAGAGGUGAGUGGAACUGCGAGUGUAGAGGUGAAAUUCGUAGAUAUUCGCAAGAACACCAGUGGCGAAGGCGGCUCACUGGCCCGAUACUGACGCUGAGGCACGAAAGCGUGGGGAGCAAACAGGG